rnacentral:rRNA from 1 species
AUUGAACGCUGGCGGCAGGCCUAACACAUGCAAGUCGAGCGGUAGAGAGAAGCUUGCUUCUCUUGAGAGCGGCGGACGGGUGAGUAAUGCCUAGGAAUCUGCCUGGUAGUGGGGGAUAACGUUCGGAAACGGACGCUAAUACCGCAUACGUCCUACGGUAGAAAGCAGGGGACCUUCGGGCCUUGCGCUAUCAGAUGUGCCUAGGUCGGAUUAGCUAGUUGGUGGGGUAAUGGCUCACCAAGGCGACGAUCCGUAACUGGUCUGAGAGGAUGAUCUGUCACACUGGAACUGAGACACGGUCCAGACUCCUACGGGAGGCAGCAGUAGGGAAUAUUGGACAAUGGGCGAAAGCCUGAUCCAGCCAUGCCGCGUGUGUGAAGAAGGUCUUCGGAUUGUAAAGCACUUUAAGUUGGGAGGAAGGGCAGUAUAUUAAUACUUUGCUGUUUUGACGGUACCGACAGAAUAAGCACCGGCUAACUCUGUG